GACGAACCGUCCAAACGUUAUUCGGAAUCACUGGGCUUACAGAGUUCGUAGGCGGUCUGGAAAGUUGGGUGUGAAAUCCCUCGGCUCAACCGAGGAACUGCGCUUGAAACUACCAGACUCGAGGGAGAUAGAGGAAAGCGGAACUGAUGGUGGAGCGGUGAAAUGCGUUGAUAUCAUCAGGAACACCGGUGGCGAAGGCGGGUCUCUGGGCCGAUACUGACGCUGAGGAGCGAAAGCGUGGGGAGCGAACAGG
rnacentral:rRNA from 1 species